UACGGAGGGUGCAAGCGUUGUUCGGAAUCACUGGGCGUAAAGCGCGUGUAGGCGGCCUUCUCAGUCUGGUGUGAAAGCCCGGGGCUCACCCCCGGAAGUGCAUUGGAUACUGGAAGGCUGGAGUACCGGAGGGGAGGGUGGAAUUCCUGGUGUAGCGGUGAAUGCGUAGAGAUCGGGAGGAAGGCCGGUGGCGAAGGCGGCGCUCUGGAACAUUUCUGACGCUGGGGCUCGAAAGCGUGGGGAGCAAACAGG
rnacentral:rRNA from 1 species